UACGAAGGGGGCUAGCGUUGCUCGGAAUGACUGGGCGUAAAGGGCGCGUAGGCGGCUUGCACAGUCAGGCGUGAAAUUCCUGGGCUCAACCUGGGGACUGCGCUUGAGACGUGUGGGCUUGAGUGGGGAAGAGGGUCGUGGAAUUCCCAGUGUAGAGGUGAAAUUCGUAGAUAUUGGGAAGAACACCGGUGGCGAAGGCGGCGACCUGGUCCUUGACUGACGCUGAGGCGCGAAAGCGUGGGGAGCAAGCAGG
rnacentral:rRNA from 1 species